rnacentral:rRNA from 1 species
GCCAGACUCCUACGGGAGGCAGCAGUGGGGGAUAUUGCACAAUGGGGGGAACCCUGAUGCAGCGACGCCGCGUGGGUGAAGGAGCGUUUCGGCGCGUAAAGCCCUAUCGGCAGGGAAGAAGGAGGACGGUACCUGACUAAGAAGCCCCGGCUAACUACGUGCCAGCAGCCGCGGUAAUACGUAGGGGGCAAGCGUUAUCCGGAUUUACUGGGUGUAAAGGGGGCGCAGACGGCAGCGCAAGCCAGGAGUGAAAGCCCGGGGCCCAACCCCGGGACUGCUCUUGGAACUGCGCGGCUGGAGUGCAGGAGGGGCAGGCGGAAUUCCUGGUGUAGCGGUGAAAUGCGUAGAUAUCAGGAGGAACACCGGUGGUGAAGGCGGCCUGCUGGACUGCGACUGACGUUGAGGCCCGAAAGCGUGGGGAGCAAACAGGAUUAGAUACCCCUGUACCG